rnacentral:rRNA from 1 species
AUUGAACGCUGGCGGCAGGCUUAACACAUGCAAGUCGAGCGGGGUGAUGGUGCUUGCACUAUCACUUAGCGGCGGACGGGUGAGUAAUGCUUAGGAAUCCGCCUAUUAGUGGGGGACAACAUCUCGAAAGGGAUGCUAAUACCGCAUACGUCCUACGGGAGAAAGCAGGGGAUCACUUGUGACCUUGCGCUAAUAGAUGAGCCUAAGUCGGAUUAGCUAGUUGGCGGGGUAAAGGCCUACCAAGGCGACGAUCUGUAGCGGGUCUGAGAGGAUGAUCCGCCACACUGGGACUGAGACACGGCCCAGACUCCUACGGGAGGCAGCAGUGGGGAAUAUUGGACAAUGGGGGGAACCCUGAUCCAGCCACGCCGCGUGUGUGAAGAAGGCCUUAUGGUUGUAAAGCACUUUAAGCGAGGAGGAGGCUCUUUUGGUUAAUACCCAAGAUGAGUGGACGUUACUCGCAGAAUAAGCACCGGCUAACUCUGUGCCAGCCGCCGCAGUAA